rnacentral:rRNA from 1 species
UACCAGCACCCCGAGUGGUCGGGACGAUUAUUGGGCCUAAAGCAUCCGUAGCCGGUUCUACAAGUCUUCCGUUAAAUCCACCUGCUUAACAGAUGGGCUGCGGAGGAUACUAUAGAGCUAGGAGGCGGGAGAGGCAAGCGGUACUCGAUGGGUAGGGGUAAAAUCCGUUGAUCCAUUGAAGACCACCAGUGGCGAAGGCGGCUUGCCAGAACGCGCUCGACGGUGAGGGAUGAAAGCUGGGGGAGCAAACCGGGAUUAAGA